CCUACGGGAGGCAGCAGUGGGGGAUAUUGCACAAUGGAGGAAACUCUGAUGCAGCGACGCCGCGUGAGGGCAGACGGUCUUCGGAUUGUAAACCUCUGUCUUUGGGGAAGAAAAUGACGGUACCUGACUAAGAAGCCCCGGCUAACUACGUGCCAGCAGCCGCGGUAAUACGUAGGGGGCAAGCGUUAUCCGGAUUUACUGGGUGUAAAGGGAGCGUAGACGGCGCUGCAAGUCCGGAGUGAAAGCCCAUGGCUUAAACAUGGUACUGCUCUGGAAACUGUAGAGCUUGAGUGCGGGAGGGGCAGGCGGAAGUCGUGGUGUAGCGGUGAAAUGCGUAGAUAUUAGGAGGAACACCGGCGGCGAAGGCGGCCUGCUGGACCGUAACUGACGUUGAGGCUCGAAAGCGUGGGGAGCAAACAGGAUUAGAUACCCCAGUAGUC
rnacentral:rRNA from 1 species